UCAAAUUUGAAAUCUGGCCCUCGGGUCCGAGUUGUAAUUUGUAGAGGAUGCUUUUGGUGCGGUACCUUCCGAGUUCCCUGGAACGGGACGCCAUAGAGGGUGAGAGCCCCGUCUGGUUGGAUGCCAAUCCUCUGUAAAGCUCCUUCGACGAGUCGAGUAGUUUGGGAAUGCUGCUCUAAAUGGGAGGUAUAUGUCUUCUAAAGCUAAAUAUUGGCCAGAGACCGAUAGCGCACAAGUAGAGUGAUCGAAAGAUGAAAAGCACUUUGAAAAGAGAGUUAAAAAGCACGUGAAAUUGUUGAAAGGGAAGCGCUUAUGACCAGACUUGGGCUUGGUUGAUCAUCCGGCGUUCUCGCCGGUGCACUCUUCCGGCUCAGGCCAGCAUCAGUUUGCUUCGGGGGAUAAAGGCUUUGGGAAUGUGGCUCCUUCGGGAGUGUUAUAGCCCACUGUGUAAUACC
rnacentral:rRNA from 1 species